UACGGAGGGUGCAAGCGUUAUCCGGAUUUCCUGGGUUUAAAGGGGGCGUAGGUGGGUCUGUAAGUCAGUGGUGAAAUCUCCGGGCUUAACCCGGAAAUUGCCAUUGAUACUAUAGGUCUUGAAUCAUCUGGAGGUAAGCGGAAUAUGUCAUGUAGCGGUGAAAUGCUUAGAUAUGACAUAGAACACCAAUUGCGAAGGCAGCUUACUACGGAUGUAUUGACACUGAGGCACGAAAGCGUGGGGAUCAAACAGG
rnacentral:rRNA from 1 species